ACGGCAUGGUGUGAAUAUUUACAAAUUAGAUCUUUAAGUCUCUCCCAAGUCUCAUGGAACAUUUCUCCAUGUACCUGAAAAAAUUGAUAAUGGCUUUUCUAAUUU